GGGUGCCUUGGCGCUCUACCAAGAGCACACCUGAUGCUAGAGGUUUGAUCAGCUGAACACUGCCUUUGAGAGGUCCCAAUGUCCUGACUCUGCUUGGGGAGAAGUCAUGCUUUCUCUGGCAGAAAGAUGAGCAAGGCUUCUUCAACCCCUGACAGAUCAAGGCUGCGAACAUCACUUGACCAACUUACAUCGAAAUUGCAACAACCAGGUUUUGUCCCUGGCCCCACUGGUGGGUGGUAACUAUAUAACCAUUCUGUUCUUAUCCUUUCUUUCUUUUCCCUUAUACGUUUUCUUUAAUGAUAUUUUUAUGUUUUUAUAUUACUGAUAGGAAAGAUGUAUGCUAAUGUCUUUACAAACAAUUCCAUGGGUGAGGGUACGGGUCUUUGAAAUGAGUCUUAAUGUCUCUACCAACUUCAAGCUGCAGGUUUGUUACAGAACAGUUUGACUCCUGAAACAGACAAAUGUAUCUACACAAGCCUGACUUUCUGAACUUUGGAUGGAAAUGAUAUGUUUAAGAGGGGAAUAUGUGGCAGGUAGUUUGGAAAGGCUGUACCUUCCUAGUAUCUCAGCCAGUGAGAUACUAGGUGUGUGUGCCCAGUGGACUCUCUCCCUUUAUUUGAAUAAAGUUGUAGGACUCCUCUGUC